CUACGGGAGGCAGCAGUCGAGAAUCUUUUGCAAUGCCCGAAAGGGUGACAAUGCGACGCCGCGUGAGCGAUGAAGGCCUUAGGGUUGUAAAGCUCUGUCAGCUGGGACGAAUACAAGAGAGUUAAUAACUUUCUUGGUUGACGGUACCAGCAGAGGAAGCCACGGCUAACUCCGUGCCAGCAGCCGCGGUAAUACGGAGGUGGCAAGCGUUGUUCGGAUUUACUGGGUGUAAAGGUCAUGUAGGCGUCUUAUUAAGUCGGGUGUGAAAUCCCUUGGCUCAACCAAGGAACUGCAUUCGAUACUGGUAAGAUUGAGUACGGGAGAGGAAAGCGGAAUUCCGGAAGUAAGGGUGAAAUCUGUAGAUAUCCGGAAGAACACCAUUAGCGAAGGCGGCUUUCUGGACCGAUACUGACGCUGAAAUGAGAAAGCUAGGGGAGCGAACAGGAUUAGAUACCCUCGUAGUU
rnacentral:rRNA from 1 species